GGAGGCCACAAGACCAGAUGAGCCAGUUUAUUGAUCUGGGUGGUGCUAGCCGAUCCAUGAAGUGUAGGGUCUACAAAAUACGUCAAGCACUGAUCUUAGGUUCUACAAUAGUUAUGUUAUUCCCAGGAACAAUUUGAGGAGGUUCAGAAUCUUGCCACUUCCAGCUGCAUGACUCCUAAACCAUAAUUUCUAAUCCUGUAGCUAAUUUGUUAGUCCUUUAAAAAAAAAGCAGUCUAGCCCCCCAGGCAGGAAGGGUGUUUAUUUUGGGAAAGAGCUGUUAUUGUCUUUGUUUCAAAGCUAAACUAUAAACUAAGUUCCUCCCAAAGUUCAUUGGGCCCACACCCAAGAAUGAACAAGCACAACUUGAAGGUUUGAAAGUAAGAUGGAGUCGAUUAGGUCAACCACAAUUUUCUCAGUUGUAAUUUUUGCAAAGGCGGUUUCACUCUGACUCUUAGGACAAGGGUCUGAGCCAACCAAGGAGGGUGGGAGGAACGAUAGUUUUUGCUUAUGGAGUCAAGUGAGCUUGACAUUGUGACUUUCUCCUGUUUCUGGAUCUUACUUUCUGGAGGCCGGUGAUAAGAGUUCUCACAGAUUAAAGAACAAGGAGAUGGCUGGCUAUUUAAGAAGGAAAGGCAGAGGCUGCAGAAAUUGAGCCUAACGGCUUAUCAGAUGGGAUGGAUAAUUCUUUAAGUUUAAAAGAACUACUCAUUUUCCCCAACAUCUGUCUUUGCCAUCUUCCUAUCUAAGGAACCUUUCACUUUUUAGCUGGGGACAUAGCUUUCUGGUAUGAGAACUACACUGCUCAAACUUCCAAUCAGCUUGUAUGCACUUGGUGAAUCUUACCUACCACAAACAGAAGUCUGGAAAGUGAAAAUUUAUUUCCUUUUCACCAUGACCAGCCUUGUUCAGAACAUCUGAGAGGCACAGACCUGAGAAAGAAUCCCCAGGCUGAAGAGGUAGAAGUUGGCAGAAGUUAAAAGCAAUGUCUCCACAAUGGAGAAGUGACAUGCUAAAGGAACCUGGCAUCUAGACAUUUCCUAACCCCCAAUCCCUCCUUACAUAUGACCUGCUCUUAGAGGAGUACAGCGUGGUGGUUAGGAGUGUGGACUCGGCAGCCAGAAAUCCUGGGAUCUGUUGCUUGUUAGCUGUGGGCCUUAAGCUAAGAACUUAACCUCUCUGUGCCUCAGUUGCUCCAUCUGUUCAAAUGAAGAUAAUGAUAAUGAAGAUGAUAUCACCUGCUGUGUAGGAUUGUUAUGAAAAAUCAAGAAUUAAUAUUUGUAAAUCACUUACAGGGUCUGGCACAUAAUAAGUGCUGUGUGGGUGUUUGUUAAAUAAAAUAAUAUACAAUGACA